ACACCAGUGGAUAAGACCAUUCAGUGAAAUAUACAAGUUAUUAUCACUUACCCCAUUUAUCCACUUGCCCUUAUAGGAAAUGCCAUUGGGUCACCGAUCCCGAUUAUGUUUCAGAAGUUAUGAUGAAAUGUGAGUUUUGAAAAGAUAAACUAAAAAAUUACAACGAAAUGGGUUGAAAAUCUAUGAAAGAAUGAUUAUUUUUGAAUGAAGAAUUAUCAUCAAAAAGACGGGAUUAUCCGUCAAGAUCUUGAAACCGGUGCCGUUACGGACGGAAACGGGUUAAAUAUGAUAUUUUCCAAACCAUUUGUGAUCUACCGGCGACAACCAUCUGUGGCAUCCACCCAAGUUAUUCUGGAUAAUGUACUUAAAUGUGUAGGGAUUGG